rnacentral:rRNA from 1 species
CCUACGGGUGGCAGCAGUGGGGAAUAUUGCGCAAUGGGCGAAAGCCUGACGCAGCGACGCCGCGUGAGGGAUGAAGGUCUUCGGAUCGUAAACCACUGUCAGCAGGGAAGAACGGUCAAUGUUUUAAUCAUCAGUGAAUUGACGGUACCUGCAGAGGAAGCACCGGCUAACUCCGUGCCAGCAGCCGCGGUAAUACGGAGGGUGCGAGCGUUAAUCGGAAUUACUGGGCGUAAAGCGCUCGUAGGCGGUAUGUCAAGUCAAGGGUGAAAUCCCCGGGCUCAACGUGGGAACUGCCUUUGAAACUGGCAAACUGGAGUGUGGGAGAGGAUAGUAGAAUUCCAGGUGUAGGAGUGAAAUCCGUAGAGAUCUGGAGGAAUAUCAGUGGCGAAGGCGACUAUCUGGCAGAUAACUGACGCUGAGGAGCGAAAGCGUGGGUAGCAAACAGGAUUAGAUACCCGGGUAGUC